AACGCACAUUGCGCCCAUUAGUAUUCUAGUGGGCAUGCCUGUUCGAGCGUCAUUUCAACCCUUAAGCCUAGCUUAGUGUUGGGAGUCUACCGCUUGGCAGCUUCGGCUGUCUGGUAGUUCCUGAAAUUGAACGGCAGAGUUACAGUAUCCUCUGAGCGUAGUAAAUUCUUAUCUCGCUUUGGUUAGGUGCUGUGGUUCUCGCCGCUAAACCCCCAAUUUUUAAUGGUUGACCUCGGAUCAGGUAGGAAUACCCGCUGAACUUAA
rnacentral:misc_RNA from 1 species